CUCCAAAACCAGGAGGUGCUGGCACCCUCCUGGAGCCCUGGGUGCAGGCAGAUGGGCGCUGUGCUCCAGAGAUUUUAUGGGUAAGGCCAGCAGGGACUGAGACCUCAAAACAUGGAAAAGAAGCCGUACUGACCUAGGUCUGGGCAUAAAGCUUCCCACAGCAUGCAUAGUUUUCACUUCUGCACUAGAGGAGUCCAUUAGACACCGCAUCAACUACCAGAGGGUAUAUGAUUUACGGGGCUCCGAUGCAUAACCUAUACCCAGGAUGAUCUUUUAUAGAGGCCGUAGCCAGGCAAAUAGCUUUUAGUAUAAAAGGGUUUUGCUGGAACCUGAGGCACACGCAGUUAGCUUUCAGUUCACAAAUGUCCUCCUAUUGAGGGCAGGAGAGUUUGCUGUAGGGUAAUCAGCAACCUAGGCCAGAAGGGACUGGUCUGGUCUCGGAGGGGGCACAGACCAAAGAAUGCCCCUCUCUUAAUUCCUGCGCACAAUUUGUUAGCAGUGUUUGGUGCUGGAAAAGCAGCCGAUUACAAGGCUAAGCUUUCCAAUUGUGGAAAACCCACUUCAGCUCUCGUUAAUGUUUACUUACCUUCACUGAUAGGCAAAAAUGCCUUACCUAAUUUGUAGUCUGAACCUGUCUGGUUUCAGCCUGCAUCUACCGAGUCUUAUUAUACCUUCCUGUGCCCUUUGGUAUGAAACUGCAAUGUUAGCUAGACAGAAAAAAAGCAUACGAGCGAUAGUCCAUAGGAAAUUAAGGUUCAGGCAGAUGAUGAUGAUACUUCUUCAGUGAAUCCGUGUGGCAAGGCGUGUCACCUUGCAGCACACAGCCACGAGCUGCAUUUUUGGGGUAAUACAUGUCAGUCUGCUGGGAUAGGAAUUACCUACCCGGAGUCUACCGUCAAUUACAGCCGCUGCCUUUUAAGACGCUGAAGCUACAAAAAGGGUCAACAUAUGAAAUAUUCAUGCUGACAUUUCCCUACAGCGAAUCCUUUCUGGGCUCAGCCAUUUCCUCCGCCACACUCUGCAUCGUGCCCUGCUCCCCUGCCGCCUGCCUCCCCCCAAGCCCCAUCAAUUCACCCGGCCUCGGGGCUCCUUUGGUCUCCUUCCCUGAGACACUCACGAGAAGGGCUUUCCAGCAUCAUGAACCACAGAGCCACAGCAAGCAGGACUAGGUGAGAGUCCAGGAGCUCAUCUAGUCCAUCCUUUUGCUUCAUGGCAGAGCCAACCAGACCGAUCCCACAUCUGGCAGAUGUCAAGGCCACUCUGGCAAAGAAAGGAAAGAAAAAACUAAGCUUACAUUACAAAAGGGAUAGUGAGGAUUUCCUUGUUUGCUCUCCAGAGUUUUCUUAACCCUGAUGUUUUGAAUCAAUGAGUUGAACAGAAGCAGAAUAGCUCCAGAUCAAAACCAAGGAACCAGAUACCUACAGAAUUGGUGAGAUUUACAUUCCGUCCUCCUCGGCUUGCAAACACUCCUUAUGCAUGAUGCUGACUUCAGCCCACGCACUAUUUGUGUGCUCUUUGAAAGACCCAGCCCACAGCAGGAGCGGAGUGCUUGGCUGUGGUCCUUUCUUUGGAGACAGCGCAGAAAAAAAUGGGACUGCAAUCUUAACUGGUUAAAAUCAAAUGACAUAAACAAGCACACCCCAUCAAGCUACUCAUACUCAAAGAUAAAGGAAGAUCUGUCUUUGCUAGCACCUACAGAAAACCCUUCUGUUCUUCCAAUGUUGCCAGUCACCAAGAGAAUAUGUUCAUGUUCCCGACUCCUACUGGAAUCAACAGCAAGAGCAUGGGUAAUACUGAAGUCUUCAAGUAGAUUUCACUACACGUGGAGGGCUCAGAAGUUGUGGUUCUGUAAUUCUGAAGCUACAGGAAAGUCAAGAAACCACAAGUAUUCCCAUCAGUGUUGUCUUUAGCAAUGCGCAGUUCCAAAAACCCCCUGUCUCUUCGGUCUGUUUUUCUUUGGGGGCGAGGAAGGAGGGGAAAAAUCACAUUUCGGGAGAAACCAACCCUUCCAAACCACAAGUUAUCAGGCAGGGCUGGCUGGCUGCAGCGUUGUUUUCUGGAGGAUCAGCACUUCUCCUCUCAGUGCCCCUUGUGCUGCUUUUCAUUCUUUUCGCUGGAGGUUUUAUGCAGCCCUGUCUAUGGCAAUGCUCUUUGUGCUUGAUGUGCAGAGGCCUACCUGCAAGCCUGUAAAUUACUUCUUGAAAUUAAAUACAAGAAUUAAGCAGGUGACACCCUCAC